rnacentral:rRNA from 1 species
GACAGAGGGUGCAAACGUUGCUCGGAAUGACUGGGCGUAAAGGGCACGUAGGCGGUGAAUCGGGUUGAAAGUGAAAGUCGCCAAAAAGUGGCGGAAUGCUCUCGAAACCAAUUCACUUGAGUGAGACAGAGGAGAGUGGAAUUUCGUGUGUAGGGGUGAAAUCCGUAGAUCUACGAAGGAACGCCAAAAGCAAAGGCAGCUCUCUGGGUCCCUACCGACGCUGGGGUGCAAAAGCAUGGGGAGCGAACAAG